rnacentral:pre_miRNA from 1 species
UGCUUCCUGAGGUCACAUGCUUCUUUAUAUCCCCAUAUGGAUUAUCUUGCUAUGGAAUGUAAGGAAGUGUGUGGUUUCGGCAAGUG